rnacentral:ncRNA from 1 species
GGUCGAAACGGCAAACCCGUCGCGAGGCGGGGACGCAAAGCCACGGGACUGGCGGGUCUCGCCAGUCAGCCGGGUUGCCGAAA